AGGAAAUCACCAACUCGGCCCCCUUCUAACUUUUUUUUCCAAAAUCAAUAAUUGAUUCCUCUAAUAAUCGUUUUUGGUUAAUUACCGUUGAGACUUGAGAGAGAUUUUCACAUAUGUAACCAUCGCAACUCGCGAGUCUUCAUCAUGACAUUUAAUCAUUUUUAAGAUAUGCUCAAUUAUUUCUGUUCCAAUUUUUUAAUCAUAACAUGGGACUAUUAUAUGAUACGUAAUUAUCUAGUAUAAUUUGCUAUCAGCACUAAAUAAAAAUCAAAUAUUUCAUAACUUUACUUAUUAUGAGUUCAAGAAAUCAACUGUUGGUAUAAAAAUAGGUAGGUUCAGUUUGAGUGGUUGAGCUAUAAACUAGGAUGUUCAAAACUGAUUUAAACAGAUUUAAACCGAUCAACUGAAUCAAAUAAAUAAAAAACUGAACAAAUCAAAAAUAAAAAAACCAAAAAAAUUACAUUUUGUUGUUUUUAUUGUAGUUGGAUUCGGUUUUCAAUUCUGACAAUGAAAAUUCCAACCAACCCCCUCCCCGCACCUAAUCCCCCACCCCCAAACGUAAACCUAGCUUCUCUCGCUCUUUUCUCUCAUUUUCGCACUCGCAGUCUUGCUCUCUGAUGCUCUCAGGCUCUUCUCAAAGUUUUUUAUUCUUCUCAGUUCUUACUAGCACCGAAGCCUUCCUCCCAGCAGCGUUUUUUCCAGCAGCGCCCAGCGUCACUAGCGAGCACCGAUCCAACAACGUUCUUCCCAGCAGCGCCAAGCCGCCAACCACCGAAGCCUUCUUCCCACCGAGCUACCCAGCACAGCACCAGCCAACAGCGUUUUAACUUAACCCACAACACAGGACAGCACAGGACCGACCACCGAGCCACCCAGCCGCCGAUUCAACUAAGAUAUGGAGCCCGAGCCUCUGAGUCAGGUUGGGGAGAUUAUUAGCAGAUUUGAGAAGAAGAGAUUUUACUUAAAAUGUAACUUCUUUUGUUUUUGUUAGUACUUAACAUACGUGCUAACAAUUUAGUUUAGAAACUCCACAAAUUUUUAGCCUUAUGCCGAGAGACACUAUACUCACUUAUCUACAAAGCUUUUCUUUAAAGGAUUGGUCUGAUAUAUUAUCUCUGGUUCUAUUAUUGCCAUGGUUUGGGAGGGUAAAGGUGUUGUUGUAACUGGCCAAAAGCUGAUUGGAGCAACAAACCCCUUGGCAUCUGAGUCUGGAACUAUCCAUGGUGACUUCGCCAUUGCAUCGGAAGAUAACUAUAAACUCAUUUCUAUCUAACAGCAUGGUUUCGUAUGUGCUUUCCAUAGAUAUGGAUCGUAGGUCUGUUAAGUAAAUUUUAGGUUGACAACUAAAAUGGUUAAUGUUAUAAUCUUGUUUUUGAAAUAUUUGUUCAAAUUAAUCAUAAAAUCAAGUGCACUUUAAAUAAAGGUUGUAGUGGUCUAUGUGUGUGGAUCCUUUCUGAUUGGAGUAUUGGACAUGUCAGUUAUAGAAUUUUAACAUUGUUUGAUAAGGUAGUCUCUAGAAUGAGUCUUAAGAGACGAUGGUGAAGAUUCACCUGUGACAUGAUCAAGUGCUUUUUUCAAUAAUUAUUAUUUUUAUUAUGUAACUGUCUUUUGAUUUCAGGUUGGUUAGCUUAAAGAAGUUUCAUUGUUUUGUUGGAGAGGACAUCAAAACGUGACUAUCUGUUGCUGGAAAUUUGUUUUUAUUUUUUGUUUUGUUAACUAUUGAACUUUUAAACUUUUUUUAUUGUCGUAUUUUAAUUUCUUUUGUCAUUAGAUUUCAUUGGAUCAAGACUUUUGUUAGUUAUGGUGUACUUGUAUUCUAUAAUUUCAAUGUUAUCACUUUGUGAAA